CGGCCUCCCAAAGUGCUGGGAUUACAGGCAUGAGCCACCACGCUCGGCCUCAGUGAUUUCUCUUCUUGCACUGUUUCUUCUGCUUUCUUUGGUUUAUUUUUUAACUUUUUUUUUAGUAGAGAUAGGGUCCCACUAGUUGUCUGGGCUGGUCUUGAACUCCUGGGAUCAAGCAAUCCUCCUGCCUCAGCCUCCCCAAGUGCUGGGAUUACAGGCAUAAGCCAUUGCGUCCAGUCCUUUGGUUUCAUUUGCUUUUCUUUUUCUAGUUGCUUGAAUCAGGAACUUAGAUUAUUAAUUUAGAUUAUUAAUUUGAGAUCUUUCCUUUUUUCUAAUAUAAGCAUCAUUUAGUAUUAUAAAUUUCUCUUUCAUGAAAUUGUAAAAUGGUAUAGCCACUUUGGAAAAUAGUUUUGUAUUUCCUCAAAAUGGUAAACAAUGAGUUAGUUACCUUAGGACCCAGCAAUUCUACUCUGAGGUAUAUACCCCGAAGAACUGAAAACACAGGGGUUCUUACCAAAACCUGCUCAGGAAUGUUCACAGCAGCAUUAUUCAUCAUAGACAAAAAGUGUAACUCCCAAAUAUCUAUCAACUGAUGAAUGGACAAAGCAAAUGUGAUACAUUCAUACAAUGUAAUAUUAUUUGACCAAGAGAUGAAGUACUGAUGUGUACCUCAAUGUGCAUGAACUUCAAAAACAUUCUAAGAAGCCAGUCAUGAAAGACUAAAUAUUGUAUGAUUCAAUUUAUAUGCAAGUACAGAAUAGGAAAAUUCAUAGAAACAGAACGUAGUUAUUUCCGGGCCCAGGGACAAAAAGGAAUAGCAAGUGACUAAGAGUAAGUAUGGGGUUUCUUUUUAGGGUGAUAGAAAUUUUAUUUUUUUUUUUUGAAACAAGGUCUCACUCUGUCAAGCAGACUGACGUACAGUGGGUGUGAUCAUAGCUCACUGCAGCCUUAACCUCCUGGGCUCGAGCAAUCCUCUUGCCUCAGCCUCCCAAGUAGCAUGGACUACAGGCACGUGCUACCUACCAUGCCUGGCUAAAAUAUUCUUAAGUUAGAUAGUGGUGACGGUUGCACAACUCUGUAAAUAUGCUUUAAAAAGAAAAAAAAACCCAAAACAUUGAAUUGCACACUAUAAAACGUAAAUUAAGCCGGGUGCAGUGGUUCAUGCCUAUAAUCCCACCACUUUGGGAUGCCAAGGCAAGAGGAUCACAUAAGCCCAGGAGCUCCAGACUGGCCUGAGCAGCGAGACCCCAUCUCUACAAAAAUAAAAUUAGCCAGGCGUGGUGGUAUGUAUUUCUAUUACUGAUUUCCAGUUUGGUUCCAUUACAGUCAGAGGACAUAUUGUGUGUGGUAGGCAGAAUAAUGGCCACCCAAAGAUGUCUACAUCUUAAUCUUUGGAACCUGUAUAUAUCUUAUGAUACAUGGCAAAGAGGAAUUAAGAUUGCAGAUGAAAUUAAAGAUGCUAAUCAGUUUACUAAAAAUAGGAGAUUGCCCUGGUUUAUCCACAUGGGCCCAAUCUAAUCAUAAAAGUGGAAGAGGUGCCAGGCAAGGUGGCUCACGCCUGUAAUCCCAGCACUUUGGGAGGCCAAGGUGGGUGGAUUACCUGAGGUCAGGAGUUCGAGACCAGCCUGAGCAACAUGGCGAAACCCCAUCUCUACUAAAAAUACAAAAUUAGCAGGGCGUGGUGGCGCAUGCCUGUAAUCAGAGCUACUUGGGAGGCUGAGACAGGAGAAUCGCUUGAACCCGGGAGGUGGAAGUUGCAAUGAGCCAAGAUCACGCCACUGCACCCCAGCCUGGGCAACAGGAGCGAAACUGGGUCUAAAAAAAAAAAAAGUGGAAGAGGGAAGCAAAAAAAAGAGUUGCAGCAUGACAAGGAUUUAAUCUGCCAUUGCUGACUUUGAAGAUGAAGGAAGCGAGACACAAGCCAAGGAAUCUGUUAGCCUCUAAAAGCUGGGAACAUCUUCAGUUUAUAGUCUACAAGUAAAUAUGGACUUCAUUCCUACAACCACAAGGAAUUGAAGUAUGUCAACAACUGAGUAAGGAAAUGGAUUCUCCCUUAGAACCUAUAGAAAGGAAUGCAGCCGGCCAGGCACAGUAGCUCAUGCCUGUAAUCCCAGAACUUUGGAGACUGAGGCAGGUGGAUCACCUGAGGUUAGGAGUUCGAGACCAGCCUGACCAACAUGGAGAAACCCCAUCUCUACUAAAAAUACAAAAUUAGCUGGGCAUGGUGGGGCAUGCCCAUAAUCCCAGCUACUCCGGAGGCUGAGGCAGGAGAAUCGCUUGAACCCGGGAGGCAGAGGUUGUGGUGAGCCGAGAUCGCACCAUUGCAGUCCAGUCUGGGCAAGAAGAGCAAAACUCCAUCUCAAAAAAAAAAAGAAAGGAAUGCAGCUCUUCUGGUGCCUUGAUUUUAACCUGAGACCCAUGUCAGACACCUGACUUACAGAAAUGUAAGAUAUUUGUAAUUAUCUAAACCACUAAAUAUGUGGUAAUUUGUUAUAGCAGCAACAGAAAAUGAAUAUGCUCUGAGUUGAAUUUUUCUUUAAUUGAGUUUUAUGACCCAGGAUAUGGUUCUAUCUUGGUGAAUAGUUUAUGGACACUUGAAAGUAACGUGUAUUCUGUUGUUGGGUAAAGUGUUCUAUAAAUGUCAAUUGGAUCCUCUUAGUUGAUGACAUUCUUCAGUUCUUCUAUAUCUUUGCUGAUUAUAUUUACAGUAGUCUGUCAAUACUGGGUGUGGAUACUGAAAUCCCAUCUACAAUUAUGGAUUUUUAAAUUUCUUCUUAAUUCUAUCAGUUUUUAUUUAUGUAGCUUAAGCUUUGUUGUUUGGUGCAUACAAAAGUAAGGAUCAUUAUGUCUUCUUUAGAUUGAUCCUUUCAUCAAUAAAUAAUGCCCCUCUUUAUCCCUAGUAAUUUUCUUUGCUUUGAAGUCUACUGCAUCUGAUAUUAAUACACUCCUGAUUAUUUCAUUAGUAUAUUAAUACUUCUAUGACACAUCUUUUUCUAUCCUUUUACUUUCAACUUACCUAUGUCAACCAUGUUUUGAAGUCAGCUUACUGUACAUAGCACAUAGUUGGAUUACAUUCUGUAUCUACUCUUCCAAUUUGUAUUACAAUUAGUGUAUUCAGAUCAUUAAAAUUCAUAAUAAUUAUUGAUGUGUUAGGGCUUAUGUUUGCCAUUUAUUUUUUUUCUGUCCCUUCUGUUUCUCAGUUUCUCAUUCCUGUUUUUCUUUACUUUCUUUCAUGUUUUUUUUUUUUUUUUUUUGAGACAGAGUCUUGCUGUGUUGCCCAGACUGGAGUGCAAUGGCGCCAUCUCGGCUCACUGCAACCUCCACCUCCCAGGUUCAACUGAAUCUCCUGCCUCAGCCUCCCGAGUAGCUGGGAUUACAGGCAUGAGCUACCAUGCCCGGCUAAUUUUUGUAGUUUUAGUACAGAUGGGGUUUCACCAUACUGGCCAGGCUGGUCUCGAACUCCUGACCUCCGGUGAUUCGCCCGCCUCAGCCUCCCAAAGUGCUGGGAUUACAAGCGUGAGCCACCGCGCCCGGCCUCAUGUGAGUUUCUUAAACAUUCUGUAGAAUUAUAUCUUGAAUUAGCUAUAGUAUUUUUGAACAUAUCACUUUGUAUAGGCUUAGUGGUCACUCUAUCACAAUAUAAAUAUAUAACUAGUCACAGUCUAGUGAUAUCAACAAUUUAUACAAUUUAUAUUUUGAAUGAAGUGCAGAAACUUUGCUUCCAUUUAGGUCUCUUUACCCUCCCCACUCCUAAAACAUAUUUAUGUAUUACAUCUAUUUAAAAAUAUAAUUAUAUGCAAAGUGUAUGUAGUGACAAUGUACAUUUCCUCUACAAACACUGAGUACCAUAUCAGAUGAUAAGACUUUGGUUCAACCACCACAUAUUUCUAAAACUGUUGAAGAUAGUCUAUUAUUCUUAUUCCUACUUUUACCUAUUCCAUUGUUCUUUUUUCUUUUUGAAGUUCCAUGUCUUCUGUUAUAAUUUCCUUUGUUUGGAGAACUUCCAUCAGCCAUUCUUUGAGAGUAGGUCUGCUAGCAUCAAAUUCUCUGUUUUCUUUGUGUAAAAAUGUCUUUAUUUCUCCUUCAUUCCUCAAGGAUAUCGUCACCAGAGAUAGAAUUUGUAAUUGAUAGUUAUCUUCUUGAGAUAACUUGAAAAAUAUUGUGCCACUGCCUUCUGACCUCCAUUGUUUCAGGUGAAAAAUUUGCUGCCAUUCAAAUUGGUGUUCCCCUAUAUACAACACAUCAUUUCUCUGUAGCCACUUUCAAGACUUUUCCUUUUAGUUUUCAAAAGUUUCAUUAAGAUGUGUCUUAGCAGGUCAGGCACGGUGGCUCAUGCCUGUAAUCCCAGCACUUUGGGAGGCCGAGGCGGGGGGAUUACCUGAGGUCAGGAGUUCAAGACCAGCCUGGCCAGCACGGUGAAUCCCCAUCUCUACUAAAAAUACAAAAAUUAGCUGGGUGUGAUGGUAGGUGCCUGUAAUCCCAGCUACUCGGGAGGCUGAGGCAGGAGAAUCACUUGAAACCGGGAGGCGGAGGUUGCAGUGAGGCGAGAUUACGCCACUGCACUCCAGCCUGGGCGACAGAGUGAGAC
rnacentral:lncRNA from 1 species